UGUGUAGGAGGUCGGGUAAGUCAGGUGUGAAAUCUCAGAGCUUAACUCUGAAACUGCGCUUGAUACUGCUCGGCUAGAGGAUCGGAGGGGGUAUCGGAGUUUAUGGUGUAGCAGUGAAAUGCGUAGAUAUCAUAAGGAACACCGGUGGCGAAGGCGGAUACCUGGAAGAUUCCUGACUCUGAAACACGAAAGCCAGGGAGGCAAACG
rnacentral:rRNA from 1 species